CUGGCUCAGGAUGAACGCUAGCGGCAGGCCUAACACAUGCAAGCCGAGGGGUAAGUCUCUUUCGGGAGAACACGACCGGCGCACGGGUGAGUAACGCGUAUGCAACCUACCUUUGGCACGGGGACAGCCCGGGGAAACCCGGAUUAAUACCCGGUAUAGUCUGUUAUACACCUGUAUAAAAGACGAGAGCUACGGCGGCCAAAGAUGGGCAUGCGUGCCAUUAGUUAGUUGGUAGGGUAACGGCCUACCAAGGCAUCGAUGGCUACGGGGUCUAAAAGGAUGAGCCCGCACACUGGUACUGAGACACGGACCAGACUCCUACGGGAGGCAGCAGUGAGGAAUAUUGGUCAAUGGGUGGAAGCCUGAACCAGCCAUGCCGCGUGCAGGAAGACGGCCUUAUGGGUUGUAAACUGCUUUUCUACGGGACGAACGGCUCUGACGUGUCAGAGAUUGACGGUACCGUAGGAAUAAGCAUCGGCUAACUCCGUGCCAGCAGCCGCGGUAAUACGGGGGAUGCGAGCGUUAUCCGGAUUUAUUAGGUUUAAAGGGUGCGUAGGCUGGGCAAUAAGUCAGUGGUGAAAGUCCGCGGCUCAACCGUGGGAUUGCCAUUGAAACUGUUGUUCUUGAGUACAGUCGAGGUAGGCGGAAUGUGUAAUGUAGCGGUGAAAUGCAUAGAUAUUACCCAGAACACCGAUUGCGUAGGCAGCUUACCAGCCUGGAACUGACGCUGAUGCACGAAAGCGUGGGGAGCGAACAGGAUUAGAUACCCUGGUAGUCCACGCCGUAAACGAUGAUCACUCGCUGUUGGCCAUAUAGAGUCAGCGGCUGAGCGAAAGCAUUAAGUGAUCCACCUG
rnacentral:rRNA from 1 species